CACGCCGUAAACGAUGCAUACUAGGAAUGUGGAGAAUCGACCCUCUGCGUUUCGAAGCUAACGCGUUAAGUAUGCCGCCUGGGUAGUACGACCGCAAGGUUAAAACUCAAAGGAAUUGACGGGGACCCGCACAAGCGGUGGAACAUGUGGUUUAAUUCGAUAACAAACGAAGAACCUCACCAGGACUUGACAUCUAUGGAAUCUCUAAGAAACUAGAGAGUGCCGCAAGGAGCCAUAAGACAGGUGC
rnacentral:rRNA from 1 species